AAGCAAAAACUGUUAGGACUAACUCUGUGGCCUCACCGAGUAGGUAUGCAGCUUAUCAGCUGCAUCCCAGGAGGAAAAAAAAGAUUAUUUUAGAAUAAGCUUAUCAAAUUCCAAGUUCUAACAUUUCUGUUUGCUUUAUCUUUUCUAAAAUCUUCACAGCUGUGUUGUCUAGCGUGAUUUCUUUAAAUAAACAUUCUCCUUUGCUGCUUCUUUAAACUUGUUUGUAGUAAGGGCAAUUUCAAACUUGCUGGUUAAUGAGAUGCAGGCACUGCAUUCCCAUCAGUGUAAAGGAUCAUUCAAAUCAAGUUCUUGACCACCUACACAAAACAGCGCUGCAAGAUAGGGCAGUGGAUGCUGCAGCUUAGGCUGCACGGAUCAUAAACACCCAUAAGCCCACUGGGCAUCCUCCAGUGAUUAAACUGGGGAAAAUGAGAGAUAACUGGGCUCACCUAAAACUGAGAAUUUGUAACACAUUGAUUCUCCAGUGUCACAUCCAGUUUUUCUUCUGUAUAUUCCUUCAUCGUGACUCAAAAGUUAUUACAAAAGCAUCACAUAUAGAAUGUGCGCACAGCUUCACGUGAUCCCAGCUUCACGUUGUCACAGAGAGCUAAUUUACAGCAUUCAUAAACAAACGACACUCUCCCCAAGAAAAUAAAUAGGAAAUUAAAAAGUAAUGUAGAUUCAAAUGAUGUCUGUGUUUCAUCAGAUCUGAGCCACAGCCAGGCGAUUUUUGUCAGUACUCCAAGUUAAAUGCCUCGCUGGAUACAGAGUGGAGCUGUGAAACUAGGAGGCAAGAUGUACCCAGAGCACAUGAACUUUUCUCCUGCCUCCUCACAAAUACAAGAGCAGCACAGAUCCUUCUCUAGGGAUGCAGAAGCCUCACAAGUACUUCUGUGUUACAGUCACCAAUCUAUUUAUGAGUAGCUCACAUGCAGAUAGUGCAGCAGGGGCAGCACAACCUCCGUCUGCAGGCAAACUGACUGGAUCGAUGGCAACCAUGCGAAGCCCCAUGCUGUCAAAAUCACAUAACAGUAACCAAGGCAAUUUAAAGCUAGCAGUAACUGCAGCGUGGACAUCUCCUUGUUAAAGCAAAACCAAAUCAAACAAAAAUACGCAACGCAGAUGAAAAGGGAAUCAAAGAACAGCCCUGCUCAUUUGUACCAGAGACUGGAGAAAGUUGUCUGUGCUUUGCUAUGUGUUGUGCUUUCUGCUACAAAGCCAGCAGCGUCAGCGUUGGACAUCAGUGGUAAACUCUGUUGAUGUCACUAUGAGUCUUGCCUGGCCUUUGAAAAGAAAUCUCCACUGCGUCUCCAGGGGUCAUUUUACAAGGAAAUCAGAUUAACCUUUUUGGUCUGUGCUUGAGAUCAAUGUGGCAUGGGAAAAGUAGGCUAACGUGGAAGAGAGAAAUAAUGAAUUGACCUUUCUGAAAAAAUUGGCUAUAAAAAUAAUUUAGUAUGAAGAAGAGUAUCUUAAAAUGAAAGCAUGCUUAUUCUUCUCAGUAGAAAUAAUAUUGUUAAAAUUCAUUCCUGAACCCACAAACAAACAAACAAAAAAUUCAGCCCAUUACUUCCCCAAGACAUCAUCUACUGUUACACAUUCUUUUUAGUAGGAUAUAACACAUCUUGUUCCACGAUUCUUACUGCCUUUGUGUCAAGUCAACUGCAGUCAUCUUAAGAUAUUGAAGAUGUAAUUCAUAAAUAAAUUAAAAUGGGUAUC
ensembl:lncRNA